rnacentral:rRNA from 1 species
UACGGAGGAUGCGAGCGUUAUCCGGAUUUAUUGGGUUUAAAGGGUGCGUAGGCGGAUCGUUAAGUCAGUGGUCAAAUUGAGGGGCUCAACCCCUUCCCGCCAUUGAAACUGGCGAUCUUGAGUGGAAGAGAAGUAUGCGGAAUGCGUGGUGUAGCGGUGAAAUGCAUAGAUAUCACGCAGAACCCCGACUGCGAAGGCAGCAUGCCGGCUUCCUACUGACGCUGAAGCACGAAAGCGUGGGGAUCGAACAGG